ACUAUUUUUAUUUCUAGUUAAAUUGUUAUAAAAUUUUAUUGUUAAGAAAAAUAAUUUAAUUGUUAAAUAUUAGUUAGUAAAUUUUCUUGAAAAGUGAUUUGAACUAUAGUUUAUAAGUACUGUGAAGGAAAGUUUUAAAAAUAAAAAUAGUAGAUUUUAUUUUUGUACCUUGUGUAUCAGGGAAGAUUUAUAUAAUUUAAUAAUUAAUUAAAUUUCUCGAAAUAGGGUAUAGCUAAUUUUAUAAUAAGUUUUUGUAGAAAAUAAAUUUUUAAUAUAAAAUUAAAGGUGAAACACUAAUCGAGCUCUAUAAUAUCUAGUUUUUUGAAAAUGAAUUUAAUUUUAUUUUAAUAGUUAUUAAAUGUUAAAAUGAAAUGUAGGAGGGAUAAGCUUCUUAUAAAUUAAAAUUUUUAAUAGUUAAAAAUGAAUAAAAGUAGUUAAUUAGGCUUAAAAGUGGCUAUAUUAAAAAAGUAUUUAAACUAAGCUAAUGUAAUGUUUAAUUGUAUUUAAUAUUUAUUUAUGGCUUUAUUUUUUAUCAAAAAAUUGAUUUAAUUUAUUUUGUUUAAGUUAAAAUGAUUUUAUUAGUAUGGAAUUUGAUGUUUUGAAUUAAUUUAUUUAAAUAAUUAAAAUAAUUUAAUAGUUUAUUCAUAAUGGUAGUAUAAAGGAACUCGGCAAAUUUUAUUUCUUUGCCUGUUUAUCAAAAACAUGUCUGUUUGUAGUUAUAAAAAGUUUAACCUGCCCACUGAUUUAUAAAAAGUUAAAUGGCCGCGGUAUUUUGACCGUGCAAAGGUAGCAUAAUCGUUAGUUUUUUAAUUGGAAUCUUGUAUGAAUGGUUGGACAAAAGAAAAUCUGUCUUUAUAUUAUUUACAUAAUUUAACUUUUAAGUGAAAAGGCUUAAAUAUAUUAAAGGGACGAUAAGACCCUAUAAAGCUUUAUAUUGAAAUGUUACUUAGUUGAAUUUAAAAUUAAUAAAUAAUUUGGUGACUUUAAUUUAUUUUAUUGGGGCGAUAAGAGUAAAAUGAUUAGUAACUGCUUGUAAAUAAAUACAUUAAUUUGUGAUUACAUUAACUAAAUGAUCCUAGUUUAAAGAUUAAAAGUUUAAGUUACUUUAGGGAUAACAGCGUUAUUUUUUUUGAGAGUACUUAUCGAAAAAAAAGUUUGCGACCUCGAUGUUGAAUUAAAAUUUCUUUAUAAUUGUAGCAGUUAUAUUAGUAGGUCUGUUCGACCUUUAAAAUUUUACAUGAUUUGAGUUCAAACCGGCGUGAGCCAGGUUGGUUUCUAUCUUUUAAUUAUAAUUAUAAUUACUUUAGUACGAAAGGAUUUAGUAAUUGAAAUUGUUUUGAUUUAAAGUUGUUU
rnacentral:rRNA from 1 species